rnacentral:rRNA from 1 species
GACGAACGCUGGCGGCAGGCCUAACACAUGCAAGUCGAACGCCGUAGCAAUACGGAGUGGCAGACGGGUGAGUAACGCGUGGGAACAUACCCCUCGGUUCGGAAUAACUCAGGGAAACUUGAGCUAAUACCGGAUACGUCCGAGGUCUUAAUCGACCUUGGAGAAAGAUUUAUCGCCGGAGGAUUGGCCCGCGUCUGAUUAGCUUGUUGGUGAGGUAAUGGCUCACCAAGGCGACGAUCAGUAGCUGGUCUGAGAGGAUGAUCAGCCACAUUGGGACUGAGACACGGCCCAAACUCCUACGGGAGGCAGCAGUGGGGAAUAUUGGACAAUGGGCGAAAGCCUGAUCCAGCCAUGCCGCGUGAGUGAUGAAGGCCUUAGGGUUGUAAAGCUCUUUUACCCGGGAAGAUAAUGACGGUACC